CAGCAGCCGCGGUAAUACCGGCGGCCCGAGUGGCGGUCACUAUUAUUGGGCUUAAAGCGUCCGUAGCCGGGGUGGGAAGUCCUCCGGGAAAUCUGGCCGCUUAACGGUCAGAAUGCCGGAGGAUACUCCCAGCCUAGGGAGCGGGAGAGGCCGAGGGGAUUCCCGGAGUAGGGGGGAAAUCCUAUAAUCCCGGGAGGACCACCUGUGGCGAAGGCGCUCGGCUGGAACGCGUCCGACGGGGAGGGACGAAGGCCAGGGGAGCAAACCGGAUUAGAUACCCGGGUAGUCCUGGCUGUAACCGAUGCGGACUUUGUGUCGGACAAGCUAUGAGCUUGUCCGGUGCCGGAGGGAAACCGUUAAGUCCGCCGCCUGGGGAGUACGGCCGCAAGGCUGAAACUUAAAGGAAUUGGCGGG
rnacentral:rRNA from 1 species